UGUCCCUUUGUCUGUUUUCUCUUUCC
rnacentral:piRNA from 1 species